rnacentral:rRNA from 1 species
UACGUAGGGUGCAAGCGUUGUCCGGAAUUAUUGGGCGUAAAGAGCUCGUAGGCGGUCUGUCGCGUCUGCUGUGAAAACUCAGGGCUUAACCCUGAGCUUGCAGUGGGUACGGGCAGACUAGAGUGCGGUAGGGGAGACUGGAAUUCCUGGUGUAGCGGUGAAAUGCGCAGAUAUCAGGAGGAACACCGGUGGCGAAGGCGGUUCUCUGGCAUGACCUGACGCUGAGGAGCGAAAGUGUGGGGAGCGAACAGG